UCCAUUUUCCACCGCAUAAUCUUCCUAUUGUCCACACUGAUUUCUGUUUGGUUUGGCAGGGCUAGCUGCUGGCAGCCUUCCUGGGCGCAGCGUUCUCCAUACCCCCGUGCAGGGGUUACUGAAAUAACAACCAGCUUUCCCUCACUCUUGGAACAGGAGCCAAGUGCGACACAAAUUGUGAAAUUUGUUUCUGGUUACCAGGAAAACGUAAAGAAAUCCCAAUGAAGCAAAAAGGUCGACAAAAUUCUUUCCAACAUUUGAACAAAAAAGGUAUUUUUCGGGUCUUAGAUUUAUGGAAAUCAAUUCUCCAGCUCCCAGACAGACUUUCAAACCUCCUAUUCUUUGCACUACGUUAUUUAAACACCCUGUAAAUACCCUUAGUGGCUCUAAUAGUAGCUCCGUAUUGUGCAAGACAGCCAUGGUCUGAAGACUUUCUUGAAUUUGAAAGACAGAAGUUCCGUUUCUGGCACAUAAACUUGAAUUACGGCUGUGGUAAGACUACCAAUGAGGCCCAGAUUUUGACAGCUAGGCAAGCAGGUCAUUUAUUUGGAAAGACUUUGAAUCCCUUCCUAGAGUAAAAUGCAGUCCUUUAUACCCAGCAGGCUUAGAAUAAAAGCUUCUUCACUGACUUGAUCAGUGUCCUGAAUUUUAGGGUAUAGGAAGGUAUUUCUGAUAACUUGAAAAUGGAGGAAAGAUGGAAAAACUGAGCUUGGAAAGAAAACCACCUGGUGGUUCCUGCCAUGACAUUUCCUAACUUAUGUAUUGAGUGAAGGUUUACAUUGUUUAUUGAAAAUAUUACCUCCUUGUGACGACACUCCAAGUCUGAGAAGUAAACACAAAAGGAAUGAAGAGAACAUGGGUAUCUGAAGCCUCCAGGAUGAAACUUAUAAAACCCAUGGACAUCCAUCAACCAAUCAUCAGUGGGUUUAACCAGGACUGGGAACCUCCACACUCCCCCAUUGACCAUACAUCUGCUCUGCUCUGGCUCUGUCAAUGACUUUGGACUACUGGCUCUGGCACUUUUCUCCACCAUGACAAUGUGUAACCUGAUUGUCCAGUUAUGCUGAUCCAACACUACAAGACUGGAAAGGAGCUGAGUCAUAGGAAAGCCAAGCACAGCUUCACCCUAAAACAUCUACUCCCUGCAUCAUCCAAGCCUUGCUGCAGAGACUGGACCAUUCAUCAAGACUUCUACACAGAGUGUUACUUUAGGGAUCCUAUUUUCUUUUCCUUCUGUCUAGCCCGCCUUUUGGAAAUAUACCAUACACCCUGGCCAUCAGACAAACCUGUAUCUGCCUUAAUGCAACUGUCUCAUUCAAAUGAGUUCCUGGGCUGGGAGCUCCCAAAACUGGGGGCUGAACUUUUGAAAGCACA